AGGAGCUUUCUUUCCGUCUCCGGCCGCCGCAGGGAGAGGAGUCGCUGCCAUGUCCGCGCAUCUGCAAUGGAUGGUCGUUCGGAACUGCUCCAGUUUCUUGAUCAAGAGGAAAAAGCAGAUGUACAGCACGGAGCCCAAUAAUCUGAAGGCCCGAAACUCCUUCCUCUACAAAGCCUGCGGCUAAUGGCAAAGGGGUCGUGGUGGUUAUGAAACGCAGAUCCGGUCAGCGAAACCCUGCCACUUCCUACGUGAGGACCACCAUCAACAAGAAUGCUCGGGCUACCCUCAGCAGCAUCAGGCACAUGAUCCGAAAGAACAAGUACCGCCCUGAUCUGCGUAUGGUGGCCAUCCGCAGGGCCAGUGCCAUCCUUCGAAGCCAGAAGCCUGUGGUGGUGAAGAGGAAACGGACCCGCCCCACCAAGAGCUCCUGAGCCCCACACCCCAGAAGCAAUAAAGAGUCCACUGAUUUGUUC